ensembl:lncRNA
CUCGUUCGCUCUCUGCUUCCUGGAUUCCAUGAGGUGAGCAGCUUUCUUCUGCCCAGGACCUUCCACCAUGCAGUUCUACCUUGGAGCCGGCUGACUGUGAACUGAAACCUCUACGAACUGUGAGCCAAUUAAGCUUUUUCUCCUUUAAAUUGUGGUUGUCAGGCCCGGCCCACAGUGCCAGCACCGGCUCUGAACUCCCCGCCCCCUCCACGGAGUUUCCCAAAAGUCAGCGCUGCAGGCCCGGCCAAGCUAAAAUGGCGACUCCCACGUGUAGCCUCAUAGCCCCGAGCGAGACAAGCAAGUAUCAGAAAGUUGGCCAGGGAUUUAGCUCAGUGGUUCCACCGCCUGCCUCGCAAGUGCAGGGUCCCUAAUUCAAUCCCCGUGAAGCCAGUAAGCAACAUGUAAGGUGUCAGAAAUGCUUGGAAUUUGGACAUUGGACUUAUGAAUGCACUGGAAAAAGAAAAUACCUACAUAGGCCAUCAAGAACAGCAGAACUAAAGAAAGCUUUAAAAGAAAAAGAAAACAGGUUAUUAUUACAGGAAACAUCGGAGAAACUAAUGUAGAAAGAAAGACCAAGAAACAAAGGUCCAAGAGUGUAACUAGUUCCAGUAGCGAUAGCAGUGACAGUUCAGUCAGUGACUCUUCAUCAGGGAGUGAAGACACAUCUACCUCCUCCUCCGAAGACAGUGACUCUGAUGAGAGCUCCUCCAGCUCGUCAUCCUCAGCCUCCUCCACAACCUCCUCCUCCUCUUCGGGCUCCAGCAACAGCAGCAGCCGCCGCCGCCCCUCCCCCUCCCCCUCCUUGGAGAGCAGCUCUGAGGAUGAGCCACCGAAAAAGAAGAAAUAGAAUUUCUCAUCCAUUUUGGACCAGUGAACCGAAGAUACCAACGUGAUUCUCGGAAGAGAAUUUAGACAAUAUUAAAGCCAAAUAGAUUAACUGUUCAAAAUUUCUAGAGUUCAAAAGUUUCUAAGUGUUUUACAUUGUAAGAAUAUAAAGAUAAUAAUGAGUUAUAUAUACAAAGAGUUUUAUUUUGGAGGUGAAUCUUGUUUUUUCUUUUUUUUAAUCUUUAAAAUGCAUCUCUAGAAUUUAAAACUAAAAUCUAGCAAAUCGCCAGGCAUGAUGGUGCAUGCCUAUAAUCCCAGCACUCGGGAGGCUGAGGCAGGAGGAUCGCCGUGAGUUCGAGGCCAGCCUGGGCUACAUAGAGAAGGAACUGGAAGGCUUUGACCCUAGAAGGCUUUGCCUGAGAGAUAAAGAAGCAUUCGUCUGAUCCAUGAUGACUUCAGUGAGCUGACUUCCCCGGUCUUACUAAACUAGAAACAAUUCUCUGAAGAACUGGAAACAGCCCCAUAUCCUUCAGUGAGUGAAUGCUGAAACAAACUGUGGGACUAUACAAUAUACUCAGAAGCAAAGAGCUAUUCCCCUUCUAGGUACAGCAUCUUCCCAGGAGAGAACAUCAUUACUACAUUGAUGUAUACAUACCUAUGUUUAUAGCAGCACAAUUCAUAACAGCUAAAUCUUGGAAGGAGUCUAUAUGUCCAUCAACAGAUGAACGGAUAAGGAAAAUGUGGACUUACACACUAGGUAGAACUACUCUGCCAUAAAGAAGGAUAAAUGAUGCACCUUGAGACCAUAAUGUUAAGUAAAAUAAAUCAGACACACAAGCUUAAAUAACACAUGGCUUCUCUUAUAUGAGAAAUCAAAAUUAUAAAUAAAGGGCAAAAUAAAAUAUAGAUAAUAGGAAGUAGGAAGAUAGAUUUUG